rnacentral:tRNA from 1 species
CCUAAUAUAGCUUAUAGUUAAAGCAAUGAUUUUGUAAGUCAUAGAUAUAAAUAUUUUAUUAGGU